rnacentral:rRNA from 1 species
CACGGGGGGAGCAAGCGUUAUUCGGAAUCACUGGGCGUAAAGGGCGUGUAGGCGGUCAAGUAAGUGGAAUGUGAAAGCCCCCGGCUUACCCGGGGAUCUGCAUCCCAAACUGCUUGGCUUGAGUACGGGAGAGGAUAGGGGAAUUCCUGGUGUAGCGGUGAAAUGCGUAGAUAUCAGGAGGAACACCGGUGGCGAAGGCGGCAUCCUGGACCGGCAUUGACGCUGAGGAGCGAAAGCUAGGGGAGCAAACGGG